rnacentral:misc_RNA from 1 species
UUUCCCCUCGAGGACAACU